ACAGAACAAGGAGAUAAUUUCCGGCUACCAUUUCAGGAAAUAGUCACAAUUUACAAACAGGUAAAAGGAGCCCUCACCACUCUGGACCCUUCAUGAACUUUACCAACAAGAAUCAGAGCAGGAAGCCCCGCCCACACCAGCUCUUCAGAAUGCUGCAUUCAGUUGAUGUUCCUCUCAGCCAGCACAGUUCAGAGCUCUGCCCCUGCGAGCAGAGCCUGACGUGCUCUUCCCAUGGGAAACGUCUGCAGACCCUAAAAAAGCUUAAAGAGCCAACACCCAGCACACAUGACAGGGCUGCUGUGGAGCUCAGCAGAUGAAAGAUCUGAUUAGAGGCUGAAGGAAUUGCUUUUUUAAUGUGAGAAUCUCUCAUUUGAAGACUUUGUUUCAUACGGCGGUCAAGAGGAGGCCGGGCUGGAUAAACACUUUACGUGCAUUAAUUCAUCUAUCUUUGCAUGCAUUUUAUGUUACCAUAGUGCUGAUAUUUAGCCUGUUGCUAAUUUCAUUCAAAAGUCCAAAAGAAAUUUAAAAUUUUUCUGUAUAUUAUGUUGCAAGAUUCUACAUUUGGGUUGUUUAUAUCCUAUGAAAACUGUAAACUCUCACAUCAUAUUGUAUGAAAAUUGAAGACCCUAAUUUUUUAAUCAGUGUUACAGUUUUCAUUUCACCUGCUUUAAUGUAAAAAGAAUCACCCUGGUCGAGUCCACAUGGUCUAUACAUUUACACUUUGUGAAAAACUGUUUGCAUUUGUUUUUGUAUAAAUAGGUUUUAGUUUCCAUUUUUCAAUAUUUAGAAUAAAUGAUGUAAUAUUUAGGUUAAAUAAGUUUACUUGGUUGAUAAAUGAAAUGGGAAACCUGAUGGGAUUACAUGAUUUACAACGUGGAGAUUUAAAAAUAAUGAUAAAAAUGUGUAUUUUUGUGUGUAGUUUAAGAUUUCAUAUUCAUAAAAAGAAAUGGUUUAAGGAGGAACCAAAUCUUUGUAUUACAACUUGUAUUUUAGCUCAAAGCCUGAAGAACUCUUGCUUGUGAAGUUGGCUUAUAAGGUGUUUUCUCAUGCAUCAUAUAUUUCUCUUUCUAGUACAGUAAAAAAUAAAUAAAUUACAUAAAAGA